rnacentral:rRNA from 1 species
AGUGAACGCUGGCGGUAGGCCUAACACAUGCAAGUCGAACGGCAGCACAGUAAGAGCUUGCUCUUACGGGUGGCGAGUGGCGGACGGGUGAGGAAUACAUCGGAAUCUACUUUUUCGUGGGGGAUAACGUAGGGAAACUUACGCUAAUACCGCAUACGACCUACGGGUGAAAGCAGGGGAUCUUCGGACCUUGCGCGAUUGAAUGAGCCGAUGUCGGAUUAGCUAGUUGGCGGGGUAAAGGCCCACCAAGGCGACGAUCCGUAGCUGGUCUGAGAGGAUGAUCAGCCACACUGGAACUGAGACACGGUCCAGACUCCUACGGGAGGCAGCAGUGGGGAAUAUUGGACAAUGGGCGCAAGCCUGAUCCAGCCAUACCGCGUGGGUGAAGAAGGCCUUCGGGUUGUAAAGCCCUUUUGUUGGGAAAGAAAAGCAGCAGGUUAAUACCCCGCUGUUCGGACGGUACCCAAAGAAUAAGCGCCGGCUAACUUCGU